UACGUAGGUGGCGAGCGUUGUCCGGAUUUACUGGGCGUAAAGAGCGCGCAGGCGGUCGUUCAAGUCGCGUGUGAAAGCCCCCGGCUCAACUGGGGAGGGUCACGCGAUACUGAUCGACUCGAAGGCAGGAGAGGGAAGUGGAAUUCCCGGUGUAGUGGUGAAAUGCGUAGAUAUCGGGAGGAACACCAGUGGCGAAGGCGACUUCCUGGUCUGUUCUUGACGCUGAGGCGCGAAAGCUAGGGGAGCAAACGGG
rnacentral:rRNA from 1 species